UCGUGAGUUCUCUCGGGAUUCUCUCCGACAGUGGCGGAGGCGGUAGUCAAGCGUGGAGGUUGGUGAACUCGUAGGCGAUUCACCGCGGUGAGAAAGUGAGGACGGUUCAUCGCGAUGAGAAGACGAAGGCGGUUCGUCGCGGCGGGAAUACGAAGGCGACUUGGUUCUCCGGUCUCCUUCUCCGAUUAUCUUCUCCGUCAACGGUAACAGCGGCAAUGGCGAGGGUCCUUGAAACCAGGAGCUGCUCUUUUCAAAUGGUGGACAUGAGCAUCCAAUGUCUUAAAAGCAAUGCCUUCAUGACUUGA